rnacentral:lncRNA from 1 species
AACGUCUAGUAUUGCAACUAGCUGCUUGACUGCACAUAGCAAUAAUUUGUUUCUCCCAAUCUUUGAUCUGGCCCAUUUCUUAAGGCUCUUUCCUGCCCUUUGCAAUUUUGUGUGCAGUAUUAGGAAGGGGUUCUGCACCUGAAGUUGCUUCUCCCAGGACUCCCUGACCACAUCAAGGUAUCCCUGCAGCUUAGGCCAACAACUCUCAAAUCUUAACCCUGUGUACCGAGGUCCUGUUGAAUUCCCG